rnacentral:ncRNA from 2 species
GGUCAUGAGUGCCAGCGUCCAAGCCCCGGCUUGCUGGACGGCAACCCUCCACACGCGGUGGGGUGCCCCGGGUGAUGACCGGGCGGCCCGUCAACCCUGGCGGGCGGCAAGCGCGGUCC